GCGGGAGCAAUCCUGGCGGCGAGUGGCGAACGGGUGAGUAAUACAUCGGAACGUGCCCAAUCGUGGGGGAUAACGUAGCGAAAGCUACGCUAAUACCGCAUAAGAUCUACGGAUGAAAGCGGGGGAUUCGCAAGAACCUCGCGCGAGUGGAGCGGCUGAUGGCAGAUUAGGUAGUUGGUGAGGUAAAGGCUCACCAAGCCUUCGAUCUGUAGCUGGUCUGAGAGGACGACCAGCCACACUGGGACUGAGACACGGCCCAAACUCCUACGGGAGGCAGCAGUGGGGAAUUUUGGACAAUGGGCGAAAGCCUGAUCCAGCAAUGCCGCGUGCAGGAUGAAGGCCUUCGGGUUGUAAACUGCUUUUGUACGGAACGAAAAGGUCUGCCCUAAUACGGCGGGCCCAUGACGGUACCGUAAGAAUAAGCACCGGCUAACUACGUGCCAGCAGCCGCGGUAAUACGUAGGGUGCGAGCGUUAAUCGGAAUUACUGGGCGUAAAGCGUGCGCAGGCGGUUAUGUAAGACAGUUGUGAAAUCCCCGGGCUCAACCUGGGAACUGCAUCUGUGACUGCAUAGCUAGAGUACGGUAGAGGGGGAUGGAAUUCCGCGUGUAGCAGUGAAAUGCGUAGAUAUGCGGAGGAACACCGAUGGCGAAGGCAAUCCCCUGGACCUGUACUGACGCUCAUGCACGAAAGCGUGGGGAGCAAACAGGAUUAGAUACCC
rnacentral:rRNA from 1 species